rnacentral:rRNA from 1 species
ACACGUAGGCUGUUAUGUAAGUCAGGGGUGAAAUCCCACGGCUCAACCGUGGAACUGCCCUUGAUACUGCACGACUUGAAUCUGGGAGAGGGUGGCGGAAUUCCAGGUGUAGGAGUGAAAUCCGUAGAUAUCUGGAGGAACAUCAGUGGCGAAGGCGGCCACCUGGACCGGUAUUGACGCUGAGGUGCGAAAGCGUGGGGAGCAAACA